rnacentral:lncRNA from 1 species
CACAACUUCCUCAACUUGGUCCUCCAUUUUUAAUGCUGCCAAAUACGUCGCCUCUCCUUUCUUUAGCCCUUUUGCUAGUUGCAUGGCCGAAAGCUGCCCUAUUGCUUUCGUCCUAGCUACCGUAGGAACCAUGCAUGGAGAACCCCUCUCCAAGAUGCAGACCUAGCCAAAGGAAGGCAUAGGAAUAACAUUGACCUUCCUCAUGAAGUCCAACCCGAGAACCAAGCAAAAAUCAUCCAUUGUAGCCAGCGAAAAAUCCACUUGGCCAUGCCAAGUGCCUAAUUGAAUUUUCACUCCUCGAACUAUGCCACCAAGGGGCGUGGAUGGAGAAUUCACAGCUUUCAUAAGACCACCACUUUUAGUGAUUGUGAGGCCCAACCUUCUAGCCUCAUCUUUAGUAAUGAAGUUGUUGGUAGCUCCCGUAUCCACCAUUG